rnacentral:rRNA from 1 species
UACGUAGGGGGCAAGCGUUAUCCGGAUUUACUGGGUGUAAAGGGCGUGUAGGCGGGGACGCAAGUCAGAUGUGAAAACCACGGGCUCAACCUGUGGCCUGCAUUUGAAACUGUGUUUCUUGAGUACUGGAGAGGCAGACGGAAUUCCUAGUGUAGCGGUGAAAUGCGUAGAUAUUAGGAGGAACACCAGUGGCGAAGGCGGUCUGCUGGACAGCAACUGACGCUAAGGCGCGAAAGCGUGGGGAGCAAACAGG